AGACGUGCGGGUGAUGGCUGCGCGUCCUCAGCGAGCAGCUAGGGCGUACCCAGUCCGAGUCGGCCAAGGCUGGCAACAUCGGUAUCCAGGGAGAUCGAGAAGGGAAGGUAUGACGAUUGAUGGGCUGAUGGAGUAUUGAUAAAGAAGCCCCAAAAUAUGUGGAGUACCUGCUGGACUGGAUUGAAGGCCAGCUUGACAAUGAAUCCUUAUUCCUUAGAAGCUCGGCACACCAUUUCCACCUCGACUGCAGUGACGAGAGUCGACGGCGCUUUCCUCGUGGCCCUAGUGGGCAAUAACCACGAGAUGAUCCUCGCCUCCGUCUACUCAUCCGGGGCUGGUGAGUGGACCGACACCAUCUCCAUUGGGCAGUAAAUUGGCGUUGAGAUCGACAACUUUGGGCACAACGCUGUUGUUGGAAAUAAGGUAUAUCUCCCCUGUGGAGACUGGAGAGACAGACCUGGUAGUGGAGUACGACAUGGGUGCACAAGAAAUAAGGUAUAGACUAGCAUCGUUACUGCUUCUCAAACAUGCACAUGGCGUUCUCACCAUAUACACCAUUGAAAAAUAUCUCAGUCAUUUUACGUAUAGCCGUUAGCCCACAUAUAUCAUUCACAUUUUCAGAAGAUUCUCAAUGCAAGCUUGCCAUUUACAGUGAUCAUCCUGUUGUUCAUUGCAUUUAUUCCGUAGAUCCAUUGAGUACUGUGUUUAUUGCAUCGCCAUAUCUGCUUCAUAUAUAAGUGUUAUUCCAUGAUGAUACAAUACUACAAUUGUGAAUAACUUAAAUUUCUUCUUGAGGAUAUAAAUUCUAGGGAUGAUGCCCAGACAAGCCUAGAUGAGAUGAAGUGUUUGCUGCCCAGAACCCAGACUCCCAGCUAUGAAAAAUUGAAUAGCCAAAAUGUAGAGUUUAAAUUGUUCUUUCUGAAUCUAGGAUGGUGUGAUUUAAUCCUAAGAUCUAUUGAUAUUGAAAUAGAAUGUUAUGGUCCUUGCUACUGAAAAUAAGCUUAACAAUUGGGAACAUCCCUCCGUUUCUCUCGUAUGCGUGUGUGGCCUGUAUCUGCAGUUUGCACACCCAAAAUAUAGUCUGCUGCAUCUGUACUUAUUAGUUUUGGUCACA